AACGGUAGGCGGGUGAGCCU
rnacentral:siRNA from 1 species